CCCCCUCAGCAAGUGGACUUGGCAAUCCUGGCGAAGUGACCUUUUAGUUUCAAGUCUAGCAAGCAGCCUUCCUUCCCAUCCCACCGGUGGGCUCAGAGAGUCAGCAGGGAGGGGGGGAAAAGAAGAGGGAGAAAGGAAAAUCGUGGAAGUGGUAGAGCCACGGGAGUAGAAAGCGCGGGUUGGAUGAUGAUGAUUAUUUUUUUAAACUAGGUGUGUGCCGGGAGAGGUUGAAAUGGGGGGGGGGGGAUUUAUUCCAGGAGGCUUCCGAAGCCUUUGAGCCAAGCAGGAUUUCUCUGCGAUGAGCUGGAGCUGCGACGCGGCCGCCUCUAAUCCCCGGGUCCGUCGCGCAGGUUAGUGGGUUUGGUCAAAUAGAUAAAUAAAUAAGUUAUGCUAAUGAUGAAGAGUCGGAUCAAUGAUUAAAAAAGAAGUAGUCAAAACUCCCAGCAGAGAAACGGGCGGGUGGAGAAGGGGGAGAGGAGCAACGCGGCUUCGCCUCCAUCUCUGUUUUAAAGGAGAGCUUGAGGUUUCUUAGAAGAUGGAGUAUGAAAUUAUAAUGAAAAAAUAAAGAAGCGGGAAGGUAAGCACGUCUGCUCGCCCUCCAGAGAGCCGGUUUGCUACCCAGACGUCUGCAGCUGACAAGGAGGAUAAGGGCUGUCAUUGCAAAGAAGAAAAGGAUCCAAACCCCAGCAGCACCGGCGGGUUUCCGAUGGCUGGAGGCACCGAUUCCAAAACGGCUCGGGCUCGGAGCGUGGAGAAAAGGGGAAAUUUGGUUCUUCGUUAGAAUCUAUUUAUCCAAUUUCUUCACUUGUAAAACACCUUCCCUUCUGGAAGUGAGCCUACGGGGACGGGGUGUUCUCGGAAACCAAUUAGAGCUUCCACCGCCAAAAAUCUGUUUGUCGGAAAAGCAUGAAGGAAAAGGAGCCACUGGGAAGAGGGCAGGGGAUGUCACCAGCUCUUGGAUCAACCCUCGGCCCUAUCGAGUGGCUUUUUUUUAGUGGAAGUACUUGAAAGAUGACAAAUCUCGGCAGGGAGAGCUGGAGAGGGCUCCAGGCGUUAUCGCCACCCAAGGGAAGCUGCUGGAGGGUCCGGAAUAAAUCCACGCCGUUAACGCGGGUAGGGUGGGGGCUUUUGCUCUCUUUUACUCCGGGCCUAAUACUGACAAUCACUCCUUGACUUGAUUUCAGCCGGAAACUCUGUCCCCUCCCCACCCCAACGAGCUUUACUCAAUUUACUUCGCUUUCGGGUUUUCAUGCUGAAUCCCCGCUGCUGCGAUCGUGCAGGCCCUCGGGGCAGCAGGUCCCGAGGGUGGGGGACACGAGGUGAAUUUUGCCGCAUUCUGCAAAUCACAUGAGAAACAACCCCAAAACCCCUGCCUCCCCGAGUUUGCUGCCGGCAGGUAUUAAUGUGCUGGAGGCAACCGGCCCCGGUCCCAGUCCAGUCCGAUGGAGCCCAGGGCACCCCCAGUAACAGCUCUUGUGCCCCCAGUUCAUAAAGAAACCUUCCUUGUAAAAGUCACUUUACAUCUCCUGAACCUGAAAACUACCAGGUAACAACUUUUUAUGACCCAACUCCCAGGACACGGUUUCAUUUUAUUCCUUAACUCAGACCUCCGUCCCUUUCCCUCCUGGUUGCAUUUCCCAGCAAGAGACCCCCUGGGUUUAGCAUGAAUUUAAACACUCAAACCUUGCAACGAGAGCUGAUUCACGACCGGGCCUUAAACCGCAGGAUUUUCGGACUGUCUGGAGUUGAAUUCUGAUUCCAGCCGGGGGGGGUUUCAGCUUUUUAAAAGUCCCUGGAUCACCAUGGUGGCAGGGAGAGCCCCUCUGCCAGCAGCAGCUCCGGUCUCUGCGGAAGGGGCUGGGGCUGGUUCGUCCCGAGGGUUUCUCAGCCCUGGGACAUCCCAAAGGCCACUUGUAGGCCCAGCUGUCCAUGCAGAAAAUCCCAACCCAAUCCCAGCCUGAAGCAGCUGGAGAAGCUCCUCAGAUAUGUAGCUUUGCUAUUCUUGCUGGUUUUCCUUCUAAUUACUCGUGCAUUUUGGAGUUUGAAGCAGGAGCUUGGCAGGGAGAGAAAGAGGUGAAAGAAGGGGAAAACGGCACUGGAAAUCCAGGCAGGGAAAAAGCACAAGAGCAAAUCCAUGGCUUAACUCCCUUGCAAGUAGAUGAAUGUGAGUCUUCCUCUCCCCCUUGCCCCCCCGGCCCUUGUCCGGGGACCUUCGCCUCUCAGGUUUAUGGUUCUCCUCUGCGUAGUGUCAGCGUUUCAUGCCCUUGAUGACACAUGCCCUUCUCCAGUCCCUCUGAAGGUUUGGAUCCCAAAUAAAGCAAAAAAAAAAAAAAAGACUUCUCCAACCCUUGCGUUUUUUCCUAAUGCUUGGGAGGUGGUGAGGGUCUGCUCACUAGUCCAUCAGUUAUUCUUUAGAUAAAGAAAUAAAAUAAAAUUAAAAGGCCCCCAAAAGAGGUGAGUCACAACAAGAAAACAGGACCCAGGGCCCCGGCAGCAGAACUUGCUGUGUCUCGCCUCCGACAGAGCAAAGGCAAGCUGUGGCACCAUCCUGAAACUAUUUAGCUCACAUCCAUGGGAGAUGGGGGCCUUUUAAGGUCUCUUCUCCCUACCCCACCCCCAGAGCCACUACCCCUCAUAUAUUAUUUUUACUAAUGUGGUGGGGUUUUCUUUUUUUUUUUUUUCCUUCUUGGAGGAGGAGGGAUUUGUGUAGCCAGAUACGAGGAAUUUGGAGAGAGAGGAGAGAGAUAUCCCCCUGUUGACUAGAGAGAUGUUGUUCUUGGGAUUAGGGAUGUCUGACCUUGAAGGUCACAGGUCAUGGUCUUGAAUAAGGAGCAGGAGUAUGAGGUUGGGAUUGAAACUUGAGGUGUGUCUGCUGGAGAUCACAGGCAAAAGUCUUCCAAACAAAGAAGAAUGCCUCAGUCAGGGCAAGAAAGGACAACUUCCCCAAGAGUUAUGGGCUCCUUCCGGAUGGUUGCAUACCUGCAGACCCCCCAAAGGAUGCUCUGUGGCUGAGGGAGGGGAGAAAGGAGGGGAGAAAGGAGGGGCAGGAUGGCUGGAGCCAGAAGGCCCCAUUAUUUAUUACUAUUUGCAUUGUGGGCAGGGCCAGAGGCCCUGAUGCUGGCGGUUUUAUGGAGGUCGGUGCUGUGGAGAGCGAUAAAAAGAGCAUCGCACUGUUGGGCCAGGUCUGGCUACCCAGAAGCAUCUUUGCAGAAGGGAAGAAAGGAAGAGAUUCCCCCGAGGGCAGGGAAGUAAUGCAGAGGCACAGCAAGAGCCCAAGUCUCAAAUCUGUGUCCGACACAACAACUAUGAAGGUUUUCGCUCUGUGAGCUCCUGCCGAGCUCUGGGGAGUUGCUCACAGCUGUAUGCCUCAGUUUCCCCACAGGAAUACCAAUCAGAGAAGCAAAGAGCACUUCAAGCCUGUUUCAGGGCAGCAAGGCUAGAAUAGACUAUGGAAACCUUAUUUCUCUGCUGGGCUCUCCAUCCAAACAAGGAAAGUAACAUAUUUAGUGGUCCAGAGCCAUCUGGUUCACACCCAUGGACCCUGCAGAUGGAGGUUCGUGCAUGUCUGCUUCUGGGCACCUGUGCGUGGGCUGUGCCCCUCCUCUGUCCAGGGGAUGAGGUUAUGUGGGUGUUGUGAGCAGGAUCAUGGCAUGAUGGUGCUGACAUCCCCUGCUGAAGGCCUGUGCCUCCCUCCGAAACCAGCCAGCACCAUGCACCACUGGCGGCAGACCCCUUUGGCUGUUCAACAUGGCGUUAAAGUCCAUGUUCAAAUGUAUGCAGGUCAGUCCCCUGGGCCAAGCAGAACGAAGUGCACAGGAAAGUGUUUGAAGACCCAGGACCUCCAACAGAACCUCAGCCUGCCUCCCUGAAGCCCCAACGUUUGAACAGGCUCAGCUCCAGACCCCCUGCCACUGUCAAUACUGUCUAAACGACCUCAAGGAGGAAAAGCCCUGACUCUAUGUCAGCAUUUUUUGAGGAGAGCAAUGACGACCUCAUUGUAACACCUGUGCAAACCACGCACGGAAAGAUGUGCAGUAAAACUCCACAGGCCGGUCUUGCUGCAGUGCUUCAGCCCACCUUUUCCUUCCCAUUUUUGGGCCUGGUGGUCGGGAAGGGAGGAGAGAGAGUCGGGGCGAGAGCAGCCCCCGGCCCCGGGAGCGGCCCCGAGCGACGCUAGAGGGAGCCCCGGGCUCAAUUAAUUAACGACCGAGAAUUAACCAAGUGAGAAAAACACUGGAGCUGGGAGAGAAAGUGAGAAUUAAUGUACCUGUGCUAUUACUGGCAUUUCCGGCUGUAUUUAUGCCUAUAUGUAUCUAUAUAUGAGAUGUGCAUAGCAGUGAGAUGACACCAACCUAAAACGCAGGAAAGGAAACAGCUCUGUGUGUUUGUGAUCUGAUUCGGGGCAAUUUGGGCUCUAAUUGAUAUAAACGUUGUCAAAAUUACUUUCCCCUCUGCCUAGGUAUUUAUUCUUCACUUUGAAGUAUUUAAGAGAAAGCAGAAGGCAUCAAUCUGUCUCAAAAAAUGCCUUUUUUAUGCUGCUAUUGAUUUUUGAAGUGCCUCUGGAAGAAGGGGAAAUGUAAGGAAUAAACGUUAAGGCAUUUAAUGUUUCCCAGCCUGGCCCAGCCGUAAGCUCAUACCCAGGGAGGCCAGAGCAGAGCUGCUCUAGGGAGGUCCCCAGGGCUGAUCCAGAGCCUGCCGAACGCUGUGGGACCACAGUCAAGAGGCCACAGAAGAGGGUCUCAGAGGCCAGGGGCACUCUUGGGUACCAGCCAAGUGGCUGCAGCAGGGUUCCCUCAUUUUUGGGGUGCUUGUAGGGUGCUGCCUGCUUGCAGAAUGGCCUGCAGACCCAUCCCAAGCACCAAGGCUCAGUUUCCCCCACACUUUCCUCCCUCUACAGCCUUUCCUGCAUGAUGCAGAGCUCUGCUGCAGUUCCAAAGCCUCCUGAAGGCAAUGAGGGGUUCUCAGGGGUUGUAGCAGACUUAAGCAGAGCUCCUGUGGGUCGCAAAAGGGAAAAGCAUCCCCAAAACAGGCAUGGUGGAUGGGCUGGAGCUCUAUGGUGGAUGACCUCAAGCUUGAGCGUGAGCAAAAAGGAACCAAAAGGGACCUCGGCACAAAAGAGGUCAUAAAAGCUGCUGUUGGGCUUAUUUAUCAUCAUUUUAAUCUUCUUAGCAUCCCAUUCAGUGGCUCUUUGGAGAAUAAAACAGUGAUAUUGUUUAUUUACCUUGA